UGAGACGUGCCGUGCGUUCUCCCGGGGAAGUUGUCCCCGGAUCACGGGAGCCUGGCAGUGGUGGGCUGCACAGGCUCCCGGGAGGGGAGGUGUGGAGAGUGACCUGUGCUCGCACACAGGCUUCCUGGUGGUGGCAGCAGCAGCCCUAGCAUCUCCUGCCCGUCUCUGGGGUCCGAGCUGAUAGCCGCGGCUCGCGCCCGCCUUUGGGGUCUGCGCUGAUAACCGUGGCUCGCGCCAGUCUCUGGAGCUCAUUUAGGCGGCGCUCUGAAUCCCCUCUCCUUGCGCGCCGCGAAACAAAGAGGCAAGAAAAAGUCUCUUGCCUCUUUGGCAGCUGUAGACUUUUUCCCGGACUCCCUCCCGGCUAGCACCGAAGCCGGAGCCUCAGCUCCCAGCCCCGCCCGCCCCAGCGGCUGAGCAGACAAGCCUCUCGCGCUGGCUGAAGUGCAACUACGUACAAACUUCCAUCACCUUUAUGGUGAAACUGCUUCUGGGCUGAAUGUGAGUUCCCAGCACAAUGAGACUUGAGCUGAUUAACUCCUUAAGCAGAAAAACGGUCAUAAGACGUGGUACAGAAAGAGUUCUGCCUAAGUUACUUUGGUAACUAAAGAAUACCAGAAAUCUCACAGACUCAGUACCAAGGCUGAAGAAGCAAGUUUGAAAAUGGACCAAAAGCAAUGGAAGCCAAGUAACUGAAACUUCAGUUGAAAUCAUGCCAUCUGAUGAAUCUGGUGAAAAUGCCACUUCCUCUACCACUGGACAAGCUAACCUAACCAUGGAAACCAUCUGGUUCUAAUGGUAUCACCUGCCUGGUUUAUCCCAGAUAAGAUUCAGGAUUUCCAGCUAUCAAGUGUAGACCCUCUACCCCCACCUUCCUCUCAGAUGAGAACCUGAAGGCCGGUACCAGUCUCGACACGACUGGUCCCUCAGACUCAGCCAACAAUCCUUUCCUCUUUCAUGCUUCCAGUACUCACUCUACUCCUUGGAGCUUAUGGAAGAUAUGGCAGUGCUCACCAAAGAUUCCUCCACUAUCCUACAUUCCCAGGCCUUGUGGCUGGGUAGGGUCAUGUGACUAGUUCUGAUCACUGGCUCAGGGGAGGUGAUGACAUGUGUUACUUCCAGUUCAGAGCACUGAACUGAUGGUACAUGACUCCUACAUUCCCAUUCCUCCACUGUGGAUGCCAGCUACAUUCCAGAUGGUACAAUCUCCACCAGCCUGGGCUCCUAAGUGACUACAUAGAGCAGAGCCCCCAACAAACUUACAACGGGCAUGCAGCCUAAGUGAGAAAAAAAUGUUUAUGUUUUAGAUGAGUGGCAUAUUGAGAUUUAUUUGUUAUUCCAGCAUAAUCUAACCUAUUGUAAUUAAUUCAGGGCUCUUCAUUUGAAAUGUGAGAAACUAUUAUCCAAGAUAUCCUCUUCUUAACUAAGCUCCCAAAAGCAGAUACAGAGGCUAUUUUCAUUUUAGGGAAUAUAAUACUAAUCAUUAUAUAAGUAAUAAUUAAAUAUUGGUUAAGUUGAACUGCAGAGAUAGAAAAGCAUUGGAUGAAUAUAGGAAAUCUAAAAUAAUAGAUAUAAUUUGUGAGAAGAGGAAUAGAUGUUUCUCUCUGGGGUUCAAUGAAGAGAACCACAAAAAAGGGAGGGAAGUUGGAAGAAGCAGGGAAGUGCUGGAGGAGAUAACUGAACUAAGACCAGAUUAUGAUUAGCCUUGAGUGUCAGAGUAAAGAGUUAGCCUUGGUAAUGGAAAUACAUGCAUGAAUUAUGAGGCCAUUUGACAUUAAGCAACAGAAGACUGAGGCUACAAUGGAUUAAAGAAAUAGGAAUGUAUUAUUUUUCUUAUGAUAAGAAUUCUUCAAGCAGUUAGUUCAUGUCUUGUGCAGUUAGUUCAUGUCUAGCUUCUCAAAGAUAUCAGUAAGGACCCAAGCUCCUUUUGUUUUUCUGUUCUGUCAUCCUGACCAUGUAUCUUUUGUCCUCAUGCUCUCAAGAUAGCUGCUACUCUCCAGACAGGCAAUCCUCAAGCCAGCCUGAGGCUUUAUUGUUUUUGUUUUAUAAAUCAAUAUUCACUUGUAUUUACCUAAAUAUUUAUAUUUUCUGUUGCUCUUCAUUAUUUCCUGCAUUUCUGUGGAUUCAUCAGCUUACAGCCAUCCUGAAUGAAAGAUUCCUUUUAGUAUUUCUUUUAGUAUAGGUCUCUUUACAAUGAUUUCUCUCAAUUUUGGUCUGUCUAAAGAUUUCAACUAAAUUUUUAAAGGCUAUUUUUUUUCUGGGUAGAAAAUUCUUAGUUGCCAUAAUUUUCCUUUAGUACUUUAAAUAUUUAAUUCCAUUUUCUUUUGGCUUCCACAGUUUCUGCUGAAAAAUCAACUAUCAAUCUUAUUUUUGUUUCAUCAAAGUGUUUUUUU